rnacentral:rRNA from 1 species
UAUAACUUGAGACAUCCAUAAGGUAAGCUCGUAAACAACGAUUGAUAGCUAUGACUAUUAAUGUAUCGUUCUUCUCUUCACUAAAUAAACAUACUGACUAGAGGUUACUUAAAUUUAACUUCUAGUCUUUUAUUUUGUAGGCAUACACUAUAAUAGACUUAAGAAAGCAGAGAGAGCGGUUCUUGGAAACACUGUUGUGAUUUCGUCAAAAAAAGUUCUCUGCUUCCUUUUAUGACAUGAGUCAGUUUAUAUCCAAAUAGGCCUUUUGAUUUAUUGAUAGAGCCUGCAUGUAAGACGAAAAUAGAUAGUCAUAAAUCGCGAAGUUAUGCUUUCGAAUAUUCAAGGAAAGAAGGUAUGAUCUAUGAAAGGUCCAAUAGUAUCCAUUGAUGUCUCUAAGGGUAAAUCAGAUUACCAGGCAUUCAAGGAUUUGAAUGUGAAGUAUACAGGUUCACGUUCAAUAAAGCACAACAAAGAAGGAUUUGAUGAGAUAGUGAAUCUUGUCAGGGAGAUGGAAAAGAAGCUAGAAACAGAAGUAUGUGUUGUUUAUGAGGCAACAGGAGUUUACCAUCGUGUCCUUAAGAAAGUGCUUGAAGACAACAAUAUUAAGCAGUUUAUUAUCAAUCCACUAUUAUCAGCUAAAACAAGAAAGAAUGAUUCACUAAGAAGUCCAAAAACAGAUAAGCUUGAUCCCAAAUCAAUUGCUAAAACAUAUUACAGCCAUAGUCUUCAUAACAGCCAUAAACAAGAAACGAUAUAUCACGAACUAAGGGAAUUAUCACGCUAUUAUGAGGAUAUAUUAGUUCAUAUAAGAAAAGAUAAGGUUGCAUUCAGAGCACAGCUGGAUAUCGUAUUUCCAGGCUAUGAUACGCUGUAUGAUGAUCUGUAUGGUCCUGUCGCUUUAGCUAUCAUUGAAAAAUAUCCACAUCCAGAAAUGCUUCAGAAAAAGAAGAUUAACACAGUAUCUAAAGUGAUUCAAAACAAAACAUGUCAUCGUCAGGCAGUGAGUGAUACAAUGGCUGACAAGGCCAUAGAGUACUCUAAAACCAUCUAUUCAGGAUGUGAUAAGGAUGAUAUUGAAGUAUUAAUCCUUCAGAGAUUCAUCAAGAAAUUAAAUGAAGAUAUGGCAGAGGCUGAAAGAACAAUUGGUGAAAUGAUCAAGCUUGCACAGGAACUACCUGACUUUAAUAUAAUCAAAUCCAUACCAGGUAUUGGAGAUAACCUAGCUGCACGCAUUAUUGCAGAACUAGGUGAUAUGACAAGAUUUAAAAAGAAGAAUGAGUUAGUAGCUUUUGCCGGACUGGAUCCAAGAAUUAGCGAAAGUGGACAAAAUGAUGGGGAUCAUAUGCACAUUACUAAAAAAGGCCUAACGCGAGGCCGAAAGGCGUAGUGGAUGGAAAGCAGGCGAAAGAUUCCUGCACCCGUAUAUGGAGCGAAGGAGUGACGGAGACGGAUAGUGUGACCCUCUUAAUGGAUUGAGGGCGAAGCGAAGCGGCUGGUUACCAGGCAAAUCCGGUAACUGAAAGGCUAGAGCGUGACAGGCAAGCGAAAUCUUAGGAAAGUAGCGAAGCACAUGAUGACGGCUUCCAGGAAAAGCUUCUGGCAAUGCAUAUGCGGCCCGUACCAAAACCGACACAGGUGGGCAGGGAGAGAAUCCCGAGGUGAGCGAGAGAACUGUUGCCAAGGAACUCGGCAAAAUGACUCCGUAAGUUAGCGAGAAGGAGUGCUUAAGCAAUUAAGCCGCAGUGAAGAGGCCCAAGCGACUGUUUAACUAAAACACAGCUCUCUGCGAAGUCGCAAGACGAAGUAUAGGGGGUGACACCUGCCCGGUGCUGGAAGGUUAAGAGGAUCUGUUAAGAGCGAUCUGAAGCAGUGAUCCGAAGCCCCAGUGAACGGCGGCCGUAACUAUAACGGUCCUAAGGUAGCGAAAUUCCUUGUCAGGUAAGUUCUGACCCGCACGAAAGGUGUAACGAUUUGGGCGCUGUCUCGGCAGCAGACUCGGUGAAAUCUUAGUACCUGUGAAAAUGCAGGUUACCCGCAACUAGACGGAAAGACCCCAUGGAGCUUUACUGCAGCCUGAUAUUGAAUUCUGGUCAUACAUGUACAGGAUAGGUGGGAGACAAAGAGACGUGCACGCCAGUGUACGAGGAGUCGACGUUGGGAUACCACUCUUGUGUGACCGGGGUUCUAACCUGGUAUCGAGAACAGGUACGGGGAGAGUGUCAGGUGGGCAGUUUGACUGGGGCGGUCGCCUCCCAAAGAGUAACGGAGGCGCCCAAAGGUACGCUCAGAUUGGAUGGAAACCAAUCGACGAGUGCAAUUGCAGAAGCGUGCUUGACUGUGAGACUUACAAGUCGAACAGGGACGAAAGUCGGGAAUAGUGAUCCGGCGGUGCCGAAUGGAAGGGCCGUCGCUCAACGGAUAAAAGCUACCCUGGGGAUAACAGGCUGAUCUCGCCCAAGAGUUCACAUCGACGGCGAGGUUUGGCACCUCGAUGUCGGCUCAUCGCAUCCUGGAGCUGGAUUCGGUUCCAAGGGUUGGGCUGUCCGCCCAUUAAAGCGGUACGCGAGCUGGGUUCAGAACGUCGUGAGACAGUUCGGUCCCUAUCUGUUGUGGGCGAAGGAGAUCUGCGGAGAGCUGUCCUCAGUACGAGAGGACCGGGAUGGACCUACCGCUGGUGCACCGGUUGUUCCGCCAGGGGCAUAGCCGGGUAGCUAAGUAGGGAAAGGAUAAGCGCUGAAAGCAUCUAAGCACGAAGCCUACUCCAAGAUGAGAUCUCCCAUUCGCAAGAAGUAAGACCCCUUAAAGACGAUAAGGUAGAUAGGCCAGGGAUGGAAGUGCAGUGAUGUACGGAGUUGACUGGUACUAAUCGGUCGAGGACUUAAUCAG